GGGGUUACAGCCUUGCUGAAUUAUUCACCCUUGUCUUUUGCGUACUUCUUGUUUCCUUGGUGGGUUCGCCCACCACUAGGACAAACAUAAACCUUUUGUAAUUGCAAUCAGCGUCAGUAACAAAUUAAUAAUUACAACUUUCAACAACGGAUCUCUUGGUUCUGGCAUCGAUGAAGAACGCAGCGAAAUGCGAUAAGUAGUGUGAAUUGCAGAAUUCAGUGAAUCAUCGAAUCUUUGAACGCACAUUGCGCCCUUUGGUAUUCCAAAGGGCAUGCCUGUUCGAGCGUCAUUUGUACCCUCAAGCUUUGCUUGGUGUUGGGCGUCUUGUCUCUAGCUUUGCUGGAGACUCGCCUUAAAGUAAUUGGCAGCCGGCCUACUGGUUUCGGAGCGCAGCACAAGUCGCACUCUCUAUCAGCAAAGGUCUAGCAUCCAUUAAGCCUUUUUUUCAACUUUUGACCUC
rnacentral:rRNA from 1 species